CCCCCACUUUCCUUGCUUCGACAGCCUCUGGUCCUCAGGCUGCCCCCGACGCCCCGGACUACCACCCCUCCCCGGAAAAUCAGCUCCACCGGACCCCAGCGGGAUCCCAUUAGGGUUACCAUACUGCAGAACGUGCUGGCGGUGCCAGGCGAACUCGUCAUCCUCCCCGUACUUCCGCUUCAGUGAAGACGGACCGGAGCCGGUAUCAGGCGGUCCUCGCGGUCCAUCGAGGCCAAGGGAGGACCAGUAAUCAGGCUUAGGGCCGCCGCGGGCGAAUGGGGGUGGCUCGCGGAAGCCUUCAGGGCUGAAUUGAGGGCCAG
rnacentral:misc_RNA from 1 species